UUAAUUUACUAUUAAAUAACUUUAUCUAAAACUAAAAAGUUCUUUUCUAAUCUGCUAUUAUAUUAUUUAAAAAUAGAAACUUUGGCUGAUUAUUUGUUGAGUUAUACUACUAUCUCAUUUUUUGCUAGAGGCGUGUAGCGGACAUUUUGAGAAAUGCCUGCAGAAUGACAACCCGUUUAUUAGAAAUGGCUAGCGCCUGCAGAAUAAUAAUCAAGCAUCUAGAUACAAGGUACAAUCUAAGAGAAAGGAGCAGCAGCAAAAUUGUAAGGUCGUAUCAUAAAUUUACAUAAAUUUUCUAAUUUCUGAUUUGUUUUAUUUUAAGUUUACAAUGGCACUUUAUGAACAGACCUUGGUACCUAAGGUAAGGAAAAAUAUAAUAUAAAAUAUAACAGAUAUAAGUAUAACGUGUCACUAGUCUCCUAUAGUGUAUAUAAUAUAAAUUAUUGUAUAUAUAAUAAAUUAUUUUAUAUUACAAG